UACGUAGGGUGCAAGCGUUGUCCGGAAUUAUUGGGCGUAAAGAGCUCGUAGGCGGUUUGUCGCGUCGGAUGUGAAAGCCCGGGGCUCAACCCCGGGCCUGCAUUCGAUACGGGCAGACUAGAGUUCGGUAGGGGAGUCUGGAAUUCCUGGUGUAGCGGUGAAAUGCGCAGAUAUCAGGAGGAACACCGGUGGCGAAGGCGGGUCUCUGGGCCGUAACUGACGCUGAGGAGCGAAAGCGUGGGGAGCGAACAGG
rnacentral:rRNA from 1 species